AUACGGAGGAUCCGAGCGUUAUCCGGAUUUAUUGGGUUUAAAGGGUGCGCAGGCGGCCAUUUAAGUCAGCGGUUAAAUCGUGGGGCUCAACCCCAUUCUGCCGUUGAUACUGGGUGGCUUGAUUGCUGUCGAGGUUGGCGGAAUUCGUUGUGUAGCGGUGAAAUGCAUAGAUAUGACGAAGAACACCGAUUGCGUAGGCAGCUGACCAGAACGCGAAUGACGCUCAUGCACGAAGGUGCGGGGAUCGAACAGGAUUAGAUACCCUGGUAGUCCGCACAGUAAACGAUGAAUACUUGUUUUCAGCGAUAUAAUGUCGGAGGCAAAGCGAAAGCGAUAAGUAUACCACCUGGGGAGUACGCCGUCAACGGUGAAACUAAAAUGAAUUGACGGG
rnacentral:rRNA from 1 species